AUAAGCGGAGGAAAAGAAACCAACAGGGAUUGCCCUAGUAACGGCGAGUGAAGCGGCAACAGCUCAAAUUUGAAAUCUGGCCUCGGCCCGAGUUGUAAUUUGCAGAGGAUGCUUCUGGCGCGGUGCCUUCCGAGUUCCCUGGAACGGGACGCCACAGAGGGUGAGAGCCCCGUAUGGUCGGACACCAAGCCUGUGUGAAGCUCCUUCGACGAGUCGAGUAGUUUGGGAAUGCUGCUCUAAAUGGGAGGUAAAUCUCUUCUAAAGCUAAAUACCGGCCAGAGACCGAUAGCGCACAAGUAGAGUGAUCGAAAGAUGAAAAGCACCUUGAAAAGGGGGUUAAAUAGUACGUGAAAUUGUUGAAAGGGAAGCACUUAUGACCAGACUUGGGCCGGGCGGCUCAUCAGGGGUUCUCCCCUGUGCACUCCGCCCGGCCCAGGCCAGCAUCGGUUCUCGCGGGGGGAUAAGACCGCCGGGAACGUAGCACCCUCCGGGGUGUGUUAUAUCCCGGCGGACGAUACCCUCGUGGGGACCGAGGUCCGCGCUCCGCAAGGAUGCUGGCGUAAUGGUCAUCAGUGACCCGUCUUGAAACACGGACCAAGGAGUCGUCCAUUAGAGCGAGCGUUUGGGUGUAAAACCCGCACGCGUAAUGAAAGUGAACGUAGGUGAGAGCUUCGGCGCAUCAUCGACCGAUCCUGAUGUUCUCGGAAGGAUUUGAGUAAGAGUUUUAACGGACGGACCCGAAAGACAGUGAACUAUGCUUGUAUAGGGUGAAGCCAGAGGAAACUCUGGUGGAGGCUCGCAGCGGUUCUGACGUGCAAAUCGAUCGUCAAAUAUGAGCAUGGGGGCGAAAGACUAAUCGAACUGUCUAGUAGCUGGUUACC
rnacentral:rRNA from 1 species